GAUGAACGCUAGCGGCAGGCUUAAUACAUGCAAGUCGAGGGAGAAUGGGGCUUCGGCCCCAGGGAACCGGCGCACGGGUGCGUAACGCGUACACAACAUGCCUUAUACUGGAGCAUAGCCUCGGGAAACUGGGAGUAAUCCUCCAUAAUAUUAUCGGGUGACAUCACUUGACAAUUAAAGAUUUUUUCGGUAUAAGAUUGGUGUGCGUAUGAUUAGCUAGUUGGUAGGGUAACGGCCUACCAAGGCGACGAUCAUUAGCUGGCGUGAGAGCGCGACCAGCCACACUGGAACUGAGACACGGUCCAGACUCCUACGGGAGGCAGCAGUAGGGAAUAUUGGACAAUGGGCGAAAGCCUGAUCCAGCCAUGCCGCGUGAUGGAUGAAGGCCCUCUGGGUUGUAAACAUCUUUUAUCAGGGAAGAAACAUCUCGUUUCUACGAGACUUGACGGUACCUGAUGAAUAAGCACCGGCUAACUCCGUGCCAGCCGCCGCAGUAACAC
rnacentral:rRNA from 1 species